rnacentral:rRNA from 1 species
UACGUAGGGUGCAAGCGUUGUCCGGAAUUAUUGGGCGUAAAGAGCUCGUAGGCGGUCUGUCGCGUCGGCUGUGAAAACCCGGAGCUCAACUCCGGGCCUGCAGUCGAUACGGGCAGACUGGAGUUCGGCAGGGGAGACUGGAAUUCCUGGUGUAGCGGUGAAAUGCGCAGAUAUCAGGAGGAACACCGGUGGCGAAGGCGGGUCUCUGGGCCGAUACUGACGCUGAGGAGCGAAAGCGUGGGGAGCGAACAGGAUUAGAACCCGU